rnacentral:rRNA from 1 species
UACGUAGGGUGCGAGCGUUAAUCGGAAUUACUGGGCGUAAAGCGUGCGCAGGCGGUUCGCCAAGUCAGGCGUGAAAUUCCCGGGCUCAACCUGGGGGCUGCGCUUGAUACUGAUGAGCUUGAAUGCGGGAGAGGAUAGUGGAAUUCCCAGUGUAGAGGUGAAAUUCGUAGAUAUUGGGAAGAACACCGGUGGCGAAGGCGGCUAUCUGGCCCGUAAUUGACGCUGAGGCGCGAAAGCGUGGGGAGCAAACAGG